rnacentral:rRNA from 1 species
UACAGAGGUCUCAAGCGUUGUUCGGAUUCAUUGGACGUAAAGGGUGCGUAGGUGGCAUGGUAAGUCGGAUGUGAAAUCCCGGGGCUCAACCCCGGAACUGCAUUCGAUACUGCUGCGCUAGAGUACUGGAGAGGAGAUUGGAAUUUACGGUGUAGCAGUGAAAUGCGUAGAUAUCGUAAGGAAGACCAGUGGCGAAGGCGGAUCUCUGGACAGUUACUGACACUGAGGCACGAAGGCCAGGGGAGCAAACGGGG